AAGUCGUAACAAGGUUUCCGUAGGUGAACCUGCGGAAGGAUCAUUACAGUGUCGCGGAGGCCAGUCCUAUGGCACCCUCUCCCGGGUGUCUCUGGGACUUGAGCCACCUCCACACGUGUCUACCACUCUAUGUUGCCUUGGUGGGUCUGCCGCUUCGGCUGCCGGGGAUCACCAUGUGUGUCCCGGGCGUGUACCCAUCAGAGGAACCCUUGAACUCUCUGUGAAUCUUAGUCUGUCUGAGCGUAAAGCAAAUUGAACAAAACUUUCAACAAUGGAUCUCUUGGUUCUG
rnacentral:misc_RNA from 1 species